GACGCGGGGCUCGACCUCGCGAGCCCGCAAGAUCAUGACCUGAGCCCAAGUCAGAUGCUUAACCGGCUGAGCCCCUCCGGGCGCCCUCCCCGCCUCCCAGACCUUUUACUGGGUCACACCGGCAAAAUCCUUCUCUGUCCUCUAAGGUGACAUUCACGGAGUCGGGACGCGGCUCUCUUUGGGGGGCGGUAUUCAGCCUACCACGAAUGGCCACCAACCAUCCCUCGACUCUCUUUAUGCCCACGCCCCACGGAUCAAGAGGCGGCAUCCGCUUGUGUUCCCCCUCGGCAAUCUUGUGACCGGCCUUGACCGACAGAAUGUAGUCGAAAGUGACGCGAGCCACUGUGGUGGCUUCUACAGUGGCUCCCUUGCAACCUGGCCGCCGCCACGCCGGAGAGAGGUCGCUCUGGGCCACCCCGGGGAGGAGGGGGGCCGCUGGAAGAGAGACGGAGACCUUUGGAGACAGAGAGACGGGGAGAGACAGCAGCGCAGGGACACGAGGCCAAGGAAUCGUCAAGAAAGUCAUGGGCUCCCGGCCCCAGGCCCGGCGAGGCUUUGAGCCACAUGCGUCGGUUACCUCAGACGCCAGCCCCGCGGGGCCUGCAGAUAACUGGGACCCCAGCUGACACCCGGCCGCCGUCCGGGGACAGACCCCGAGCCAAGACCACCCAGGUCAAGCCACAGAGCCCACGAGAACUCACCCGUUGCUUCAAGCCAAUGCGGGAGCUGAGGCACCGAGAGAGAGGAAAUCUUUGCGCUCUUGCCGGCUUCCGCGACAGUUCACGUAGCUCCCUCGCGAGCUGACUCCCGUGGGACUCGCAGCAUCAUCACGUCCCUCGUCACACCCACGUCCCAAGCCCUGGAUGUGCCGCUCUUUGAAGCUGAGAUCUUAGCUUCCUGCCGCCAGGCUCGCCCAUUUCCUUGCCGGGCAGAAUUUCAAAGUUUUAUGGCAACUUGUACAGAAAUCACAGAGAAGAGACAACGACCGGUGCUGAUGAGCUAGGAGUAGAGAAAGGGGAGUGGGUAACAGGUCUGGGAUGUUGGGGU